AUUGAACGCUGUCGGCAGGCCUAACACAUGCAAGUCGAGCGAGCGGCGGACGGGUGAGUACUGUAUGGGGACUGCCCGAUAGAGGGGGAUAACUACUGGAAACGGUAGCUAAUACCGAAUACUAUCGGAUAACCCAUAUGGGAUUAGCUAGUAGGUGAGGUAAUGGCGCACCUAGGCGACGAUCCCUAGCUGGUCUGAGAGGAUGAUCAGCCGCACUGGGACUGAGCCACGGCCCAGACUCCUCCGGAGGCAGCAGUGGGGAAUAUUGCACCAUGGGCGCAAGCCUGAUACAGCCAUGCCGCGUGUAUGAAGAAGGCCCUAGGGUUGUAAAGUACUUUCAUUCGGGAGGCGUUACCGACAGAAGAAGCACCGGCUAACUCCGUGCCAGCAGCCGCGGUAAUAC
rnacentral:rRNA from 1 species